rnacentral:antisense_RNA from 1 species
CUUCACCGAACCGAGCAGCAACGGCCGCUCCCGGCCCUGGCCGUACGUCGCCAGCAACGCCUGGGCCUC